rnacentral:rRNA from 1 species
GUUGCCAUCAUUCAGUUGGGCACUCUAGCGAGACUGCCGGUAAUAAACCGGAGGAAGGUGGGGAUGACGUCAAAUCAUCAUGCCCCUUAUGACCUGGGCUACACACGUGCUACAAUGGUUGGUACAACGAGUUGCGAGUCGGUGACGGCGAGCUAAUCUCUUAAAGCCAAUCUCAGUUCGGAUUGUAGGCUGCAACUCGCCUACAUGAAGUCGGAAUCGCUAGUAAUCGCGGAUCAGCACGCCGCGGUGAAUACGUUCCCGGGCCCU